rnacentral:piRNA from 1 species
UACAAUGUUAAGUGUAAGAAAACUCCAGAA